rnacentral:rRNA from 1 species
UACGGAGGGUGCGAGCGUUGUCCGGAAUCAUUGGGCGUAAAGGGCGCGUAGGUGGCCCGGUCAGUUCGUGGUGAAAGCGCGGGGCUCAACUCCGCGUCGGUCAUGAAUACUGCUGGGCUUGAGCACUGUAGAGGCAGGCGGAAUUCCGGGUGUAGCGGUGGAAUGCGUAGAGAUCCGGAAGAACACCGGUGGCGAAGGCGGCCAUCUGGACCGCAACUGACGCUGAGGCGCGAAAGCGUGGGGAGCAAACAGG